rnacentral:rRNA from 1 species
AGAAUCAACGCUGGCGGCGUGCCUAACACAUGCAAGUCGAACGAGAAAGUGGAGCAAUCCAUGAGUAAAGUGGCGCACGGGUGAGUAACACGUGACUAACCUACCUUUUAGUGGGGGAUAACCUAGGGAAACCUGGGCUAAUACCGCAUAAUACCUACGGGUCAAAGCAGCAAUGCGCUGAAAGAGGGGGUCGCGGCCGAUUAGCUAGUUGGCGGGGUAAUGGCCCACCAAGGCAGUGAUCGGUAUCCGGCCUGAGAGGGCGCACGGACACACUGGAACUGAAACACGGUCCAGACUCCUACGGGAGGCAGCAGUGGGGAAUUUUGCGCAAUGGGGGAAACCCUGACGCAGCAACGCCGCGUGGAGGAUGAAGUCCCUUGGGACGUAAACUCCUUUCGAUCGGGACGAUAAUGACGGUACCGGAAGAAGAAGCCCCGGCUAACUUCGCGCCAGCAGCCGC